rnacentral:rRNA from 1 species
AACGCUAGCUACAGGCUUAACACAUGCAAGUCGAGGGGAAACGAUGAGAGAGCUUGCUCUCUCAGGCGUCGACCGGCGCACGGGUGAGUAACACGUAUCCAACCUGCCUUUUUCCAGGGAAUAACCUUGCGAAAGUAAGACUAAUGCCCUAUGUGUCCUCCGACGGCAUCAGACGAGGACGAAAGAUUUAUCGGAAGAGGAUGGGGAUGCGCCUGAUUAGGCAGUUGGCGGGGCAACGGCCCACCAAACCGACGAUCAGUAGGGGUUCUGAGAGGAAGGUCCCCCACAUUGGAACUGAGACACGGUCCAAACUCCUACGGGAGGCAGCAGUGAGGAAUAUUGGUCAAUGGACGAGAGUCUGAACCAGCCAAGUAGCGUGCAGGACGACGGCCCUAUGGGUUGUAAACUGCUUUUGUAUGGGGAUAAAGUGAGCCACGUGUGGUUUAUUGCAGGUACCGUACGAAUAAGGACCGGCUAAUUCCGUGCCAGCAGCCGCGGUAAUACGGAAGGUCCGGGCGUUAUCCGGAUUCAUUGGGUUUAAAGGGAGCGUAGGCCGCCCCUUAAGCGUGUUGUGAAAUGCCGCGGCUCAACCGUGGCACUGCAGCGCGAACUGGGGGGCUUGAGUGCGCGCAGCGAAGGCGGAAUUCGUGGUGUAGCGGUGAAAUGCUUAGAUAUCACGAAGAACUCCGAUUG